CAUUUCACAUCAAGGCGCCUGAUUUCAAACGGGCCAAUCAGCGCACUGCAUCAGGCUCCACCGCAGACAACGUCUGUACAGCUCCACACAAGUUUUGCUUUGGACUAAGGCAGCACGUUAUCUUCAUUUUCGUGGACUUGUUUCUUAUUUUAACGUCUGCUACAGGUCGUCUUCAGUUACUACGGGACAGCAUCUUCUGCCAGCAUCUACCAGAGGUCAGUCCAGUGGUUGCUUGCAAGAAGUCAUUGAGAUGAUUUUGACGAGAAGGGAGAGCUUCUGUUCCACUGCGUUGAGAUGACAAGCCUUUCAGAUGUUCAGAUGGAGAAAGUGCCACCAACGCCCUUCAUCAUUGUUUGCGGUUCCUCCUGCUUCGCUGCUGAAACAUUCAUGUUGAGCAUUGACAAGAAGAUUGUCAACGACCGCAUCACAACCUUCACCUCUGCUAUCUGCCUAAUGUUUGGCAGUUACAGUACUACUGCUUUAACAUACACUACCCUGUGGAACUACGAUCAACACUGGAGUUCCUUCAACGGUGUUUCUUUUCCAUAAAUCCUGAGAGAGGCACUAAGGUUGAAUCAAAGAAGAAAAAAGUGUUCUCAGUCAAUCCCAGAGUCCUCACUCUCAUCUCAGACAUUGCUGACCAUGAGUGGAUCUAGUCCUACCCCUCUUGUUUGAGACAAAGUGAUAAAGGUAUACUGUUACAUACUCUACAGAUGUUCUGUUUUUGAAACAUUUCUGAUUGUGAGUGGGAAGUUUUUAACAAUGUGAAGUUUUACUAGACAAAAUUUCUAAAAGUACAUGUUCUACUUUUGAUUCACUGUUUUAUAUAUGAAAAAUGUAUCUGGUAAAAAUGUGGUAAACCUGCUAUUUAUUUUCAAUUUUAACAGAAUAAAAUUGUAUUUUAUUAUUUUUUUUAUAGUUAAUUUUACAGGGAAAAAAUGUGUUUUCUGGCACAAACUUUAUUUUAUGUUAUUUUCAUGUUAAUUUUAGGGAAAAAUAUUAUUUUUUCUUCAAGUUAAAACAUUUUCUUCUACGGUAAAAUAUUGAUCCUAGCACUAUUUUUAACCGUAAAAUCAACAAUAACAAUACCUUCUUACUGUUAAAGAAGAAAAUGUUUCACCCGUAAUUUUACGGUAGAUUUCUGGCAACCACAGCUGCCAGCGUUUUACCGUAAAAUCUACAGUUUUUUUUUUUUUUUUACAGUGCAUAAUUUUAAUUUUAUUUAUUUUAUUUUAUGUUUUGAUUUAUUUUCUUUUUUGGUGGUUUCAGCUCCACAAGUUCCAUGUUAAUUUGAUCUAGUCUUGUUUUAAGUUCUGUAAAUUUUUCUUAUACCUGUUUUUUAUUAUAAGUAGUUGUUCCAUGUUGUUCAUUCAUUGAAUGAAGGGUUGAAACUGGUCUCGCAGGCUGACCUAAAACAGCAAAAACUUUUCUGAGGCCUUGUGGCCAGUGCCAAAUAGUGUUCACACAGGAUAGAUUAAUAAAUGUUCAUGUCCUUGCUGUGGUAGAACCAAACAGCAAACUCCUGGGCUGGCUAUCUUUCAGUGUCGACGUGAGACCAAAUCUAAAAGUGAGUGAGUUCCCACAGUCUCCCAUAUUAGCAUGCUUAUAUGUUUCCAGCCCUGCUAUGGUCUCUAUGGAUAUUUUCCACUUCAUAAAUUGAACUUUUUAUAUAACUAAACUGUUUUUGCUAAUGCUUAAA